rnacentral:tRNA from 1 species
GGAGAGGUGCCAGAGUGGUCGAAUGGGGCUGACUCGAAAUCAGUUGACCUCGUAAGAGGUCCGGGGGUUCGAAUCCCUCCCUCUCCGCCA